AGAGUUUGAUCCUGGCUCAGAACGAACGCUGGCGGCAGGCUUAACACAUGCAAGUUGAACGGGAUUUGUGUGGUGCUUGCACCAUAUAAUGAGAGUAGCGCACUGGUGAGUAACACGUGGGAACGUACCUUUUGGUGGGGGACAACAUCUGGAAACGGAUGCUAAUACCGCAUAAGACCUGAGGGUGAAAGAUUUAUCGCCGAAAGAACGGCCCGCGGAAGAUUAGGCAGUUGGUGGGGUAAAGGCCUACCAAACCUACGAUCUAUAGCUGGUCUGAGAGGACGAUCAGCCACACUGGAACUGAGACACGGUCCAGACUCCUACGGGAGGCAGCAGUGAGGAAUAUUGGUCAAUGGGCGCAAGCCUGAACCAGCCAAGUAGCGUGAGGGAAGACUGCCCUAUGGGUUGUAAACCUCUUUUGUGCGGGGAUAAAGUGUGGGACGUGUCCCAUAUUGCAGGUACCGCACGAAUAAGGACCGGCUAAUUCCGUGCCAGCAGCCGCGGUAAUACGGAAGGUCCGGGCGUUAUCCGGAUUUAUUGGGUUUAAAGGGAGCGUAGGCCGGAGAUUAAGCGUGUUGUGAAAUGUAGAUGCUCAACAUCUGCACUGCAGCGCGAACUGGUUUCCUUGAGUACGCACAAAGUGGGCGGAAUUCGUGGUGUAGCGGUGAAAUGCUUAGAUAUCACGAAGAACUCCGAUUGCGAAGGCAGCUCACUAGACUGCAACUGACACUGAUGCUCGAAAGUGUGGGUAUCAAACAGGAUUAGAUACCCUGGUAGUCCACACAGUAAACGAUGAAUACUCGCUGUUUGCGAUAUACAGUAAGCGGCCAAGCGAAAGCAUUAAGUAUUCCACCUGGGGAGUACGCCGGCAACGGUGAAACUCAAAGGAAU
rnacentral:rRNA from 1 species